GUAGGUGAACCUGCGGAAGGAUCAUUAUCACGUAUCCACGUAUAAACCAUUGUGAACCGUUCAUUAACCUUUGUUCUCGGAUAAGACAGUGUGAAUUAAACGUUUACAAACAGCACUAGUAAUUGAGCUGUUGUUUAGUUCGCCGCAAACGAUGUAUUCUCCCCGGAGUUUCUCGAUUGCUCUUGCUGAGAAUCAAAGUGUAAUCAAUUACUACUUAUUAACCAUUUUAACCAAUCUUUAUAACUUUUUG
rnacentral:misc_RNA from 1 species